GACGAACGCUGGCGGCGUGCUUAACACAUGCCAGUCGAACGGAAAGGCCCUGCUUUUGUGGGGUGCUCGAGUGGCGAACGGGUGAGUAACACGUGAGUAACCUGCCCUUGACUUUGGGAUAACUUCAGGAAACUGGGGCUAAUACCGGAUAGGAGCUCCUGCUGCAUGGUGGGGGUUGGAAAGUUUCGGCGGUUGGGGAUGGACUCGCGGCUUAUCAGCUUGUUGGUGGGGUAGUGGCUUACCAAGGCUUUGACGGGUAGCCGGCCUGAGAGGGUGACCGGCCACAUUGGGACUGAGAUACGGCCCAGACUCCUACGGGAGGCAGCAGUGGGGAAUAUUGCACAGUGGGCGGAAGCCUGAUGCAGCAACGCCGCGUGCGGGAUGACGGCCUUCGGGUUGUAAACCGCUUUCGCCUGUGACGAAGCGUGAGUGACGGUAAUGGGUAAAGAAGCACCGGCUAACUACGUG
rnacentral:rRNA from 1 species